rnacentral:rRNA from 1 species
ACACUCCUGCGGGAGGCAACAGUGGGGAAUAUUGGACAAUGGGCGCAAGCCUGAUCCAGCCAUGCCGCGUGAGUGAUGAAGGCCCUAGGGUUGUAAAGCUCUUUCACCGGUGAAGAUAAUGACGGUAACCGGAGAAGAAGCCCCGGCUAACUUCGUGCCAGCAGCCGCGGUAAUACGAAGGGGGCUAGCGUUGUUCGGAUUUACUGGGCGUAAAGCGCACGUAGGCGGACUAUUAAGUCAGGGGUGAAAUCCCGGGGCUCAACCCCGGAACUGCCUUUGAUACUGGUAGUCUUGAGUUCGAGAGAGGUGAGUGGAAUUCCGAGUGUAGAGGUGAAAUUCGUAGAUAUUCGGAGGAACACCAGUGGCGAAGGCGGCUCACUGGCUCGUUACUGACGCUGAGGUGCGAAAGCGUGGGGAGCAAACAGGAUUAGAAACCCCUGUAGUCCCAUG